UGUCGUUGUUUUGUCCCAGAUUAGCCGCUCGUUCUCGCUCUGCUUUCGCCUUCCUCGAGCUCCCCAGCUAUACGCCACCGCAGCCGCAGCCGCCCUAGCCCCGAGCCCCGCCUACUCCCCUUCUCUCGCGCUCUUCUCUUGCCGAGCCGACCUCGUACCACCGGUGCGUGUCCCUCGGUGUCCAGCACGGGGAGCGCGGCCGCCGCAUGCGCCCCUGAUACUGCAGCCGCGUACCCGAAUCAUCUCCUGUCCGCCGCUGUUUCGUGCUCCAUGGAAUGAUUGGGUUGAGGUACCUGUUCAUCGUACCGAUCUGGAUCGCCGCUCCCUUCUUCAUUCGCCCGUAGCUCGUGAGAUUGGUUCCAUUCGUGUAAAUGUGUAAUAGUUCGUCCACCGCGUGUAGCUUCAACGAUGUCUCUAUUUCUGCCGAGUUCAUAUGUUUGUUGAAAUGUCUGUGAGGUGACGUUCCUGUUGUAGAUGCUUAGGCUGUGUUUGUGUUCGUUUGUUGCCCACUUAAUUCCAGGCUGCCAUAUGAUUCCGUCCUGUUCAUGUAUUCUCACCGUCCCAUGCUUGGUCCAAAAUCUUGUUAGUUUGUUGUUUUCUUGUAAAUACUUAUAUUGGAUACUAACAUUUUACAGAGUGAUAUGAGAGAUAAUGGAUAAACUUGUCAUAAUUGGUCUGUAGAAGCAGAUUUUGAAAGCUUAGCCUGUGAUAAACACAAAUACACAAGGAACACUAUUUUCUGGUAAAACUCUGGGAUAUAGCAAAUAACCAGCCUCAGUGCGUCGCUUCACUGAAUCAUAAUCUUGGAGCUGUAUUUACAGUAUCCUUUCCGAAUGACAGCCCAUUUUUUGCUAACAUGUGAAGGAUCAAAAGGCAAAAUAGGAGGAGCUCUUUGUUGCCAUCAUUGGGAGGGGUGCAGAUCAGUCGUUUACAUGGCUGCUCUGCCGAAAGCAGCGCACCAUCACCUACUCCAGGAUAAGCAGCAGACAGUCAUCCUCGCAUCAACAAGGUUGUGUGUGUCUCGGUUACUUGAUUCUCUCUCUCUCCCUCUCUCUCUCUCUCUCUCUCUCUCUCUCUCUUAUACAUGCGCACACACAUAGUCUGAUCCCCUUUUCUGUGGCUUAGUACACCAGAGAAAUUAAGUAAACGAUGCAGGGGAGCUUGGUGAAGUAACAUUGAUAUGUCAUAGAUCUGGUGAAAGUCAUGGCCUAGAAAAGAUCAAGAGGUUUCUUUAGGCAUUUUGGUGUUCAUCCUUUGAAGCAGGAGAUUACUCUGCAUACGCCCAGAAUUCAGUCCAUAGAAGGAAUUUGACACGGCCAAGGCACAAAUCUUAUCGCGCGGCACUUGUUUCCCCUAUUCUGCUGCAAGUUUGGUUCAUCCUUCAAGUACAUAUGUAUCUCUGAACAAAGGAUUCAGAUUCUGUUAGAUAUACGUGCUCCUAAUGCUCAUUUAAUUACUCAGCUCUACCUUUUAGUACCUGCUUGAAUUACCUACUCCUAGAUAAGGGCAUUUAAAUUUGUUGCCAUCCACUGAAAUAAGAAUCCACAAGCUCCUCAAAUGAAGACUUCCCUACUUGUUUAAUUGUAAACAGGUUCAGGUUUGCACAAGCACAAGCAUAUCUGUGAAAUGAAGUAGUUUGCUUGAUUGUUCUUACGGAAACAAGAUACAAAAUACUUUCACAUUUGUGGUUUUUUUUUUUCUCUUGGAGAGUUCUGGCUUUCCUUAAAUAUUGGUUGUUGAUAUCAUGGCAUUGCUGAUACGUCAUACGUAAGCAUAGUCUUCAACCACCAGCAAUUGAAUCUUUGCUGGUUUACUAUCAGUAGUCAAUGUGUAAAUGAAAGUUUUUGACUUAUUUAUAAAGAUUUUGAUUACCAAUUGGAAUUAGGAACUGAAUGUCUACUACUCCCUUCAAUUUGAAUAUGUCACUCUGUCUCUAUUUGUGCCAGUUGAGACAUCAAGCCAACGAAGAAUUUCGCAUUUAGGUAGAUAAGUAAGGUUAUAAACUUUCAGAAUCUUUAACUGAAUACAUGUAUCGCCUCUUCUGCAGUUUACGUAUUGGUUAUACUCCAGCGUUUUGAACUUAGUCCUCGCUGAUGCGAACCCUCGGAUUGAGAAGAACUAUUGCUUGGACUAGGGAGGCCGUGGCAAGGAGGCGUCCAUGGUGGGAGGAGGGUCCUGAGCUUGGGUGCGGCUAGAGCGCUACGACGAGUAUGCCUGAGGCCAGGCCUUCUAGCUAUGUGAGUGUGGCUGGCAACAAGAGGACGCAAGUCGGCGCGCCCCUCUCCGCCGUCCUGCUGCUCGCCUCCUCCCCACUCCUUUGUGUCAGCACUCAUGGGGCUCAUAUUGAAUCGUGAUAGAAAAAUAAGCUAGCACCGCAGCACGUGAUAUGUAGACCUUUUUGGCUACGUAAGGCACCAAAUACUUGUUACAUUUCUAUUGAUGCAAGACUGGUUUGUAUCACUUGGUACAAUAUCUUAUUUUUA